CCAGACUCCUACGGGAGGCAGCAGUGGGGAAUAUUGCACAAUGGGGGAAACCCUGAUGCAGCAACGCCGCGUGAGUGAGGAGGUAUUUCGGUAUGUAAAGCUCUAUCAGCAGGGAAUAGAAAAGAAGGUACCUGAAAAAGAAGCCCCGGCUAACUACGUGCCAGCAGCCGCGGUAAUACGUAGGGGGCAAGCGUUAUCCGGAUUUACUGGGUGUAAAGGGAGCGUAGACGGCCAGACAAGUCAGAAGUGAAAGCCCAGGGCUCAACCCUGGGACUGCUUUUGAAACUGCCGGGCUGGAGUGCAGGAGAGGUAAGCGGAAUUCCUAGUGUAGCGGUGAAAUGCGUAGAUAUUAGGAGGAACACCAGUGGCGAAGGCGGCUUACUGGACUGUAACUGACGUUGAGGCUCGAAAGCGUGGGGAGCAAACAGGAUUAGAUACCCCCGUAA
rnacentral:rRNA from 1 species